rnacentral:tRNA from 1 species
AGAAAAGUAAGCUAAAUUUUAAGCUGAUGGGUUCAUACCCCAUAUAUAGAGGUAAUCUCUCUUUUCUA